AGUUUGAUCCUGGCUCAGAUUGAACGCUGGCGGCAGGCCUAACACAUGCAAGUCGAGCGGAUGACGGGAGCUUGCUCCUUGAUUCAGCGGCGGACGGGUGAGUAAUGCCUAGGAAUCUGCCUGGUAGUGGGGGACAACGUUUCGAAAGGAACGCUAAUACCGCAUACGUCCUACGGGAGAAAGCAGGGGACCUUCGGGCCUUGCGCUAUCAGAUGAGCCUAGGUCGGAUUAGCUAGUUGGUGGGGUAAUGGCUCACCAAGGCGACGAUCCGUAACUGGUCUGAGAGGAUGAUCAGUCACACUGGAACUGAGACACGGUCCAGACUCCUACGGGAGGCAGCAGUGGGGAAUAUUGGACAAUGGGCGAAAGCCUGAUCCAGCCAUGCCGCGUGUGUGAAGAAGGUCUUCGGAUUGUAAAGCACUUUAAGUUGGGAGGAAGGGCAGUAAGCUAAUACCUUGCUGUUUGACGUACCGA
rnacentral:rRNA from 1 species